AGCGUGUGCCCAGUACCUGUCGACCCUCAAAUCCAAAAGGCGAAUACACAAACAAGAGCGGCUUCUCUGUGUUAAUUUGUUUAACACCCAUGGAGGGAAGAACUACUCUUUGCUUCCUCCUGGUGCUUGCCUUGCUAGGAAAUUGUGUUCAUGCUGAAACCUGCAGUGAGAAGAGUAAUCUGGACACUGCAUGCAUACCUCAAUACGUGAUGAAUUUCUGCAAGAGGGAAUACCCAGGAAGAAAUGUGAAGAACGCCUACUGUAAAGGCUUCUUCCCGUUUGUCUUUCGCGUCUGUCAAAUCUGUGGCUAGAGUUUUACGGCCCCCGUGACCAGGAGCCAAACUAAUGUAUAACCUAUUUGUGGUACGGUUUGAAUGAAGAUAAAAUCAGUUUGUGAUCCAAGACAUGUGAAAUUGAAUAAAAUUAAAAUCAGUUUGACCAGGAGUCAAACUCAUGUGUUGGUGUUGUGUCAAUGAAUUGGUGAUUGAAUGAUUGCAUUAACGAGUUGGAGAUUGUAUGAUUGUAA